GCCUGGGUGGCUCAGUCAGUUAAGCAUCUGACUUUGGCUCAGGUGAUGAUCUCAUGGUUUGUGAGUUCGAGCCCCACAUCAGGCU
rnacentral:tRNA from 1 species